UACGUAGGGUGCGAGCGUUGUCCGGAAUUAUUGGGCGUAAAGGGCUCGUAGGCGGUCCAUCGCGUCGGGAGUGAAAAGCUGGGGCUUAACCCCAGUCCUGCUUUCGAUACGGGUGGACUAGAGGUAGGCAGGGGAGAAUGGAAUUCCUGGUGUAGCGGUGAAAUGCGCAGAUAUCAGGAGGAACACCAGUGGCGAAGGCGGCUUCCUGGACACCAACUGACGCUGAGACGCGAAAGCGUAGGGAGCGAACAGG
rnacentral:rRNA from 1 species